rnacentral:rRNA from 1 species
UACGUAGGUGGCAAGCGUUGUCCGGAAUUAUUGGGCGUAAAGCGCGCGCAGGUGGUUCUUUAAGUCUGAUGUGAAAGCCCACGGCUCAACCGUGGAGGGUCAUUGGAAACUGGGGAACUUGAGUGCAGAAGAGGAAAGUGGAAUUCCAAGUGUAGCGGUGAAAUGCGUAGAGAUUGGAGGAACACCAGUGGCGAAGGCGACUUUCUGGUCUGUAACUGAACACUGAG